UCUGGGUGGCAGUGUGGUUAGCUGGUUGUCUGAAAUAAAGAACAACCGCUAUCAUCACUGCCGUCCCGGU
rfam:Syphacia muris strain Valencia genome assembly, scaffold: SMTV_scaffold0001371